rnacentral:rRNA from 1 species
CCCUUAGAUGUUCUGGGCUGCACGCGCGCUACACUGAAGCUAUCAACACGUUUUCCCUCCCUGAGAAGGGCGGGUAACCUUUUGAAUCAGCUUCGUGGUAGGGAUCGGGGCUUGCAAUUGUUCCCCGUGAACCAGGAAUUCCUAGUAGACGCGAGUCAUAAGCUCGCAUCGAUUAAGUCCCUGCCCUUUGUACACACCGCCCGUCGCUACUACUGAUUGAACGUUUUAGUGAGGCAUUUGGACCGACGCAUCUCAGUUUAACCGCUGGUUUGUGUUGGAAAGACUUCCAAACUUGAGCGUUUAGAGGAAGUAAAAGUCGUAACA